AUGUCGCAUUCCCCCAAGCUUGUGUUCCUGUGUGAAACUAGACAGAAGGCAGGAAAGAUGAGAAGUAAAAGGAGACGCCUUGGUCUCCGAGGUUUUGAAGGAGUUGAUAGUAUUGGCAUGAGUAGAGGACUUGCUUUGUUUUGGUAUGAAGCUUGUCAGGUGGAUGUUUUGCGCACAAAUAACAGGUUUAUUGAUGUCACAAUCAGGUUAGAGGAGGGGGCUCCUCGGUGGAGGUUGACUUGUGAUUAUGGUGAGCCACGUGUGGAGAAUCGUCAUCUCAUGUGGUCGAAGCUCCAAGGCCUUUCCACGAUCUCUGAUCUACCCUGGCUUGUUAUAGGUGAUUUUAAUGAAGCUCUCUGGGAUUUUGAGCAUCUAUCAGUUACACCGCGACCGGAACCUCAGAUGAUAGCCUUUAGGGAUACUCUCGAAGUGUGUGGCUUGAUAGACCUUGGGUUCUCAGGUUUGCAUUUUAUGUAUGAAAAUAAGAGGAGUGGGAAGGCGAAUGUUGAAGUUCGUCUUGACCAUGCAGUCGCUUCAAAUGCGUGGUGA
rnacentral:rRNA from 1 species